rnacentral:ncRNA from 1 species
UUGUACUGAGCCUUUGCCAAAAGACUGAGUGCCAACGAUGAUCGCUCGCUUGUGAUCUUGUAGGGCACCAGCAACAAUUUCAGAGGCAGAAGCAGAGCCUCCAUUGAUUAAUACGAUGAGGGGAAUAUUGCCUGCAAUAGUAGUUUCGGUUGCUGAAUAACUGAAAUCAGAUUCAGUCAUGCGACCUUCGGUAUAAACAAUUAAUCCAGUAUUUAAAAACGCAUCGGAAACUUCAACAGCGGCUUCUAAAACACCACCGGGGUUGUUACGUAA